UACGUAGGGUGCGAGCGUUGUCCGGAAUUACUGGGCGUAAAGAGCUCGUAGGUGGUUUGUCGCGUUGUCCGUGAAAACUCACAGCUCAACUGUGGGCGUGCGGGCGAUACGGGCAGACUGGAGUACUGCAGGGGAGACUGGAAUUCCCGGUGUAGCGGUGGAAUGCGCAGAUAUCAGGAGGAACACCGGUGGCGAAGGCGGGUCUCUGGGCAGUAACUGACGCUGAGGAGCGAAAGCGUGGGGAGCGAACAGG
rnacentral:rRNA from 1 species